AUUGAACGCUGGCGGCAGGCCUAACACAUGCAAGUCGAGCGAGCGGCGGACGAGGGAGUACUGUCUGGGAAACUGCCUGAUGGAGGGGGAUAACUACUGGAAACGGUAGAUAAUACCGCAUACCAUCAGAUGUGCCCAGAUGUGAUUAGCUAGUAGGUGGGGUAACGGCUCACCUAGGCGACGAUCACUAGCUGGGCUGAGAGGAUGACCAGCCACUCUGGAACUGAGACACGGUCCAGACUCCUACGGGAGGCAGCAGGGGUGAAUAGUGCACAAUGGGCGCAAGCCUGAUGCAGCCAUGCCGCGUGGGUGAAGAAGGCUUUCGGGUUGUAAAGCACUUGCAGCGGGGAGGCGUUACCCGCAGAAGAAGCACCGGCUAACUCCGUGCCAGCAGCCGCGGUAAUAC
rnacentral:rRNA from 1 species